UCGAAAGUUUUUAUACAAAACUGUCACGAAAUAACUAACAAUCGCUGGUCUGAAAACACGUCUGUACGCGACGGUGUACACGACGAACACUUAUGUGACUUAUGACAAUUAUGUUUGAAACAAAAUAUUAGCCAAAUGUUCGCCACGCAGUUCGCAGAAUCGCUACUAAAUAGUUUGAGCAAUCUGCAAAAUUUGGUACUCUUUAGUCAAUAAAUGAACGAAAGUCCAGUGGAAAUUUUCGAAACAGCAACACGAAGUUUCAGUCGUAAAUACGAAGAAACUAUAAGCACUGUCCCAAAUGUAGCAUCUGAUCACCAGCGUACAAUAUUUGAGUACGUCUUCUACGAGUAAACAACUUGAUGCAUGAUGCAUGAUGCGCCACCAACCCAUCUCAGCCUGGCAGUUCAAGAACAGCUAAACACGCAAUUCGGACAACAUUGGAUAGGAGGAUUCAGAUCCGUAGCUUGGCCUCCUCAAUCUCCAAAGUUCAACCCUUCAGAUUUGGUUUUUGGGGAUAUUUAAAAACUUUAGUGUAUGCCAAUCCUGUCGACACUUAAUUAUUUUUUAAUUUUAAUUAAUUUUCAUUCAAUAAGCAUUGUGGAGAACGCAACAUUCUACAAUUUUUCAAGAUAGGGAGUGCAUAAGGUUAGAAGGAGCUCAUGUUGAACCUCCAUACAAAAUUGUCCACUAAAUCCAAAUACAAUGAAAAUGGUUUUUCCUCGAGAACUGUUCUGUUUAUCAAUAUGAAUAUGAAUCAUAUCGAGUGUCAUAUGAGUGUAUUUUUUUAGUUUAAGGUUAAAGCUACCCAAAUACAUUAUUUUCGAGUCUUUAUUGUAUAGGGUAAAAAAAUAACUUUUAUUGUGCUCUACCUAUCCCAUCUCUGGCAAAUGAAAAUGCUAAAAAUGGUUACAUGGAUUCUUUUUAAGAGCAAUGAUGUACUGUUCAUAGCAUGAAAAAAUAAAUAAAUUGCCUGAAGUAUUUUAAAA